ACACUGCUGAGGAGUCCCACAAUAGAACGAAACUACCGUUCAGUGU
rnacentral:hammerhead_ribozyme from 1 species